GACAGAGGUGGCAAGCGUUGUUCGGAUUCAUUGGGUGUAAAGGGCAGGUAGGUUGUUUUAUAAGUCUGACGUGAAAUCCCAGGGCUCAACCCUGGAACUGCGUUGGAAACUAUAUGACUUGAGUAUCGGAGAGGUAAGGGGAAUUCUCGGUGUAAGGGUGAAAUCUGUAGAUAUCGAGAGGAACACCAGUGGCGAAGGCGCCUUACUGGCCGAUUACUGACACUGAGCUGCGAAAGCAAGGGGAGCAAACAGG
rnacentral:rRNA from 1 species